ACGCUGGCGGCAGGCUUACACCUGCAGUCGAGCGGAGAUGAGGUGCUUGCACCUUACCUUAGCGGCGGACGGGUGAGUAAUGCUUAGGAAUCUGCCUAUUAGUGGGGGACAACGUUCCGAAAGGAAUGCUAAUACCGCAUACGUCCUACGGGAGAAAGCAGGGGAUCUUCGGACCUUGCGCUAAUAGAUGAGCCUAAGUCGGAUUAGCUAGUUGGUGGGGUAAAGGCCUACCAAGGCGACGAUCUGUAGCGGGUCUGAGAGGAUGAUCCGCCACACUGGGACUGAGACACGGCCCAGACUCCUACGGGAGGCAGCAGUGGGGAAUAUUGGACAAUGGGGGGAACCCUGAUCCAGCCAUGCCGCGUGUGUGAAGAAGGCCUUAUGGUUGUAAAGCACUUUAAGCGAGGAGGAGGCUACUGAGACUAAUACUCUUGGAUAGUGGACGUUACUCGCAGAAUAAGCACCGGCUAACUCUGUGCCAGCAGCCGCGGUAAUACAGAGGGUGCGAGCGUUAAUCGGAUUUACUGGGCGUAAAGCGUGCGUAGGCGGCUUUUUAAGUCGGAUGUGAAAUCCCCGAGCUUAACUUGGGAAUGCAUUCGAUA
rnacentral:rRNA from 1 species